UGAAAACCUUUCUCAUCGAGCAAGCAUCUGCCACUUCCGUUCCUUUCAAUCGGUUCGUUGCCUUCUCUACGAUGAUCACCCGUUUAUCUAACGAUUUUGCGCCUUUCGAUGCGUUUAUAAUGGGACCGAAGUUAUUCUACACCGCGAGAUCGAAUUAGAAACUCGUUUAUUAUAUACGCUAAACUGGAUAUUAUACGAACAUUUUGACCAAUCCUGUAUAUACACGCGCGAGUAUAACGAGUUCCAAUUGAUAUUGGAAAAUUAAAAAAAAAAAGAAACGUUUACUUGCGAUUACGAAGAGAAGAUUGGAUGACGAUGAAAAAGAAGAAGAAGAAAAAGAUGAUGAUGAUGAUGAUGACGAUUAAUAAAAAAGAAAAAGAAGAAAAAGAAGAAAAAGAAGAAGAAGAGGAAGCAAAAGAUGAUGAAUAAAAAGAAGAAGAAGAAGAAGGUGUAGAAAAAGGAUAGAGGAGAGCGAGCAUGUGGGUGAAGGCUGGAGGGCUCUCCAGGAUGUGUCGAAAGUGAAACCCAAGGCCUCCGUUCGUACGUGUUGCACUCUCUGCUCUCAAUCUUCUCAUUGUGUCCAUUCCUAUUCUCCUCUCUUUGAUGCUAAAGUCUCGACUCGAUUCUAAUACGAAAGAAAAAUAAAAAAAAAAAAAAAGGAACAAAAAAUACGCUCGUCGAUCUCCAGUCCUCCCCACCCACUCCCCUUCUUCCCAAAAAAAAAAAAAAAACAAAAAACAGAUCCAUUCUGAACGAUAAUUCUUGUCUUCUUUCGAAACGAACCCGUAUCGGAUCGUCAGUGUUUCGUUUCGUCUUUUUAAUUGCUCAUAAUCGUUUUCCUCGAUCAUAUAUUCAUCAUAAUCGUAAAAUUUCAUUACUAAUUCCGAUUAAUAAGACAAAUAUCUAACUUUCGAUCAUUGAUAUAUAUGUAUAUAUAUAUAUAUCGUUACUUUUCUCUAUUUUGUUCUCUCUCUGUCUCUUUCUCUCUCUCUCUCUCUCCCUCUCUCUCUUUUUUAUUUUUCGCGUUUUUUAUUUAUGAUCCAGACUCGACAUUUUUCUCAUUUUUAUUCUUACUGUUUGGUAUGAAAUAUGCCAAUA